ensembl:ncRNA lncRNA:CR44755 long non-coding RNA:CR44755
UGCUAAUAGAAUAAUUAAUGCAAUUUCCCACAACAUUAGGCACGAGCACAGACACACGGACUCAGUCGCAGACGGAGCAAAACGGCCGAAGGAUCCAAGGAGCACAGCAGCACACAGCGAAAUCAAGAUGAGAAGCUCUCUAUCGGACUCGCCAUCCAUCCCGUCCUCGGAACCCACCCCAUCCCCGCCAGAACCCACUCCAUCGCCCCACCACUCGAUUCAGUGACAACUGUCGACUUGGACCGGCCGUGUAUUCUUGGCACUGCGAACCCCCGGGAACUAAGCCGUUCCAAAUGGGGUUUAUGUGCGUGAUCUGUGGGCUCACCAACAGGAUGGGGACUUGAAUUGGUGGAAGGAUACUGCCAAUUGCUUUGCCAUCAUGCAUGUGUCCACUGUACUGUACUGGAUGUAGCAAUUAACGAUCUUUGGCAGUUGAAGAUAACAGAGAUUUUCUCAAUACCACUGAAGCUCAAGGAUCAAUAUCUAAAUAUUUUAUUAUAU